rnacentral:miRNA from 1 species
UCGUGACCUUCUCUUUGUAUU